AUGAACGCUGGCGGCGUGCCUAAUACAUGCAAGUCGAGCGAACAGACGAGGAGCUUGCUCCUCUGACGUUAGCGGCGGACGGGGGAGUAACACGUGGAUAACCUACCUAUAAGACUGGGAUAAAUUCGGGAAACCGGAGCUAAUACCGGAUAAUAUAUUGAACCGCAUGGUUCAAUAGUGAAAGACGGUUUUGCUGUCACUUAUAGAUGGAUCCGCGCCGCAUUAGCUAGUUGGUAAGGUAACGGCUUACCAAGGCAACGAUGCGUAGCCGACCUGAGAGGGUGAUCGGCCACACUGGAACUGAGACACGGUCCAGACUCCUACGGGAGGCAGCAGUAGGGAAUCUUCCGCAAUGGGCGAAAGCCUGACGGAGCAACGCCGCGUGAGUGAUGAAGGUCUUCGGAUCGUAAAACUCUGUUAUUAGGGAAGAACAAAUGUGUAAGUAACUAUGCACGUCUUGACGGUACCUAAUCAGAAAGCCACGGCUAACUACGUG
rnacentral:rRNA from 1 species